UACGAAGGGGGCUAGCGUUGCUCGGAAUUACUGGGCGUAAAGGGUGCGUAGGCGGGUUGGUAAGUCCGUGGUGAAAUCUCCAAGCUUAACUUGGAAACUGCCGUGGAUACUAUCAAUCUUGAAUAUCGUGGAGGUAAGCGGAAUAUGUCAUGUAGCGGUGAAAUGCUUAGAUAUGACAUAGAACACCAAUUGCGUAGGCAGCUUACUACACGAUCAUUGACGCUGAGGCACGAAAGCGUGGGGAGCAAACAGG
rnacentral:rRNA from 1 species